rnacentral:rRNA from 1 species
GAUAGUUUGAUUAUGGCUCAGGAUGAACGCUGGCGGCGUGCCUAACACAUGCAAGUUGAGCGAGAAAUCACUUAAAGAAGCUUCGGUAGACUUAAGAGAUGGAGAGCAGCGGACGGGUGAGUAACGCGUGGGAAACCUGCCCUUGACAGGAGGAUAGCCGAGAGAAAUUUCGAUUAAUACUUCAUAAAGCAGAGCAUUCGCAUGGAUGAACUGCCAAAGAAUUAUCGGUCAAGGAUGGUCCCGCGUCUGAUUAGCUGGUUGGUAAGGUAGCGGCUUACCAAGGCGACGAUCAGUAGCCGGCCUGAGAGGGUGAACGGCCACAUUGGAACUGAGACACGGUCCAGACUCCUACGGGAGGCAGCAGUGGGGAAUAUUGCACAAUGGGCGAAAGCCUGAUGCAGCAACGCCGCGUGAAGGAAGAAGGCUUUCGAGUCGUAAACUUCUGUCCAAAGGGAAGAAUAAUGACGGUACCUUUGAAGAAAGCCCCGGCUAACUACGUGCCAGCAGCCGCGGUAAUACGUAGGGGGCGAGCGUUAUCCGGAAUUACUGGGCGUAAAGAGUAUGUAGGUGGUUAAGUAAGCGUAGGGUUUAAGGCGACAGCCCAACUGUCGUAUGCCCCGCGAACUGUUUAACUUGAGUACAGGAGGGGAAGGCGGAAUUCCUAGUGUAGCGGUGAAAUGCGUAGAUAUUAGGAGGAACACCAGUGGCGAAUGCGGCCUUCUGGACUGUAACUGACACUGAGAUACGAAAGCGUGGGUAGCAAACAGGAUUAGAUACCCUGGUAGUCCACGCCGUAUACGAUGAGCACUAGGUGUCGGGCUCGCAAGAGUUCGGUGCCGGAGCAACGCAUUAAGUGCUCCGCCUGGGGAGUACGCACGCAAGUGUGAACUCAAAGGAAUUGACGGGGACCCGCACAAGCAGCGGAGCAUGUGGUUUAUUCGAAGCAACGCGAAGAACCUUACCAGGACUUGACAUCCCACUGAAAGCUCGGUUAAACUGAUCCUCUCGAACAUGGAGACAGGUGGUGCAUGUGUCGUCAGCUCGUGUCGUGAGAUGUUGGGCUAAGUCCGCACGAGCGCCACCUGCGUACUGCCAUCAUUAGCUGGCAUCUAUGGACUGCCAGGGAACGAGAGCAGAAUGACGUCAUCUCAUGCCUUAGUUCUCUGGGCUACACCGCUGGCUCUACAA